rnacentral:rRNA from 1 species
UAAUACAGAGGUCUCAAGCGUUGUUCGGAUUCAUUAGGCGUAAAGGGUGCGUAGGUGGCGCGCUAAGUCAGGUGUGAAAUUUCGGAGCUUAACUCCGAAACUGCAUUUGAUACUGGCGUGCUUGAGGACUGGAGAGGAGACUGGAAUUCACGGUGUAGCAGUGAAAUGCGUAGAGAUCGUGAGGAAGACCAGUGGCGAAGGCGGGUCUCUGGACAGUUCCUGACACUGAGGCACGAAGGCCAGGGGAGCAAACGGGAUUAGAUACCCCGGUGGUCCUGGCAGUAAACGGUGCACGUUUGGUGUGGGAGGAUUCGACCCCUUCUGCGCCGGAGCUAACGCGUUAAACGUGCCGCCUGGGGAGUACGGUCGCAAGAUAAAAACUCAUAGAAAUUGACGGGGGCCCCCACAAGCGGUGGAAUAUGUGGCUUANGUUCGAUGCAACGCGAAGAACUUACCUGGCCUUGACAUGCAUCUCUNAAUUGGUGAAAGCCACCGAAUCCC